rnacentral:rRNA from 1 species
AUUGAACGCUGGCGGCAGGCCUAACACAUGCAAGUCGAACGAGUGGCGGACGGGUGAGUAAUGUCUGGGAAACUGCCCGAUGGAGGGGGAUAACUACUGGAAACGGUAGCUAAUACCGCAUACAAUCGGAUGUGCCCAGAUGGGAUUAGCUUGUAGGUGAGGUAACGGCGAACCUAGGCGACGAUCCCUAGCUGGUCUGAGAGGAUGACCAGCCGCACUGGAACUGAGACACGGUCAGGACUCCUACGGGAGGCAGCAGGGGGGAAUAUUGCAAAAUGGGCGCAAGCCUGAUGCAGCCAGGCCGCGGGGAUGAAGAAGGCCUUCGGGUUGUAAAGUACUUUCAGCGGGGAGGCGUUACCCGCAGAAGAAGCACCGGCUAACUCCGGGCCAGCAGCCGCGGUAAUAC